rnacentral:rRNA from 1 species
GCCUACGGGGGGCAGCAGUGGGGAAUCUUCCGCAAUGGGCGAAAGCCUGACGGAGCAACGCCGCGUGAUCGAAUGAAGGCCUUCGGGUUGUAAAGAUCUGUUGACAGGGACGAAUAAGCAAUGCGAAUAGUUUUGUGUAUGACGGUACCUGUUUAGAAAGCUCCGGCUAACUACGUGCCAGCAGCCGCGGUAAUACGGAGGAUGCGAGCGUUAUCCGGAUUUAUUGGGUUUAAAGGGUGCGUAGGCGGAUUUUUAAGUCAGCGGUAAAAUGUCCGGGCUCAACCCGGGCCGGCCGUUGAAACUGG